UACGUAGGGUGCGAGCGUUGUCCGGAUUUAUUGGGCGUAAAGAGCUCGUAGGCGGUUUGUCGCGUCUGCCGUGAAAGUCCGGGGCUCAACUCCGGAUCUGCGGUGGGUACGGGCAGACUAGAGUGAUGUAGGGGAGACUGGAAUUCCUGGUGUAGCGGUGAAAUGCGCAGAUAUCAGGAGGAACACCGGUGGCGAAGGCGGCCAUCUGGACCGCAACUGACGCUGAGGCGCGAAAGCGUGGGGAGCAAACAGG
rnacentral:rRNA from 1 species